rnacentral:rRNA from 1 species
UACGGAGGGUGCUAGUGUUAUUCGGAAUCACUGGGCGUAAAGAGCACGUAGGCGGAUAGGUAAGUCAGAUGUGAAAUCCCGGGGCUCAACUCCGGAACUGCAUUUGAUACUGCCUGUCUUGAGUGUGGUAGAGGUGGAUGGAAUUCCCGGUGUAGAGGUGAAAUUCGUAGAUAUCGGGAGGAACACCAGAGGCGAAGGCGAUCCACUGGGCCACUACUGACGCUGAGGUGCGAAAGCGUGGGGAGCAAACAGG